rnacentral:rRNA from 1 species
GACGAACGCUGGCGGCGUGCCUAAUACAUGCAAGUGGGACGCAAGGGAACACACUGUGCUUGCACACCGUGUUUUCUUGAGUCGCGAACAGGUGAGUAACGCGUAGGUAACCUGCCUAUUAGCGGGGGAUAACUAUUGGAAACGAUAGCUAAUACCGCAUAAUAUUAAUUAUUGCAUGAUAAUUGAUUGAAAGAUGCAAGCGCAUCACUAGUAGAUGGACCUGCGUUGUAUUAGCUAGUUGGUAAGGUAAGAGCUUACCAAGGCGACGAUACAUAGCCGACCUGAGAGGGUGAUCGGCCACACUGGGACUGAGACACGGCCCAGACUCCUACGGGAGGCAGCAGUGGGGAAUCUUCGGCAAUGGACGAAAGUCUGACCGAGCAACGCCGCGUGAGUGAAGAAGGUUUUCGGAUCGUAAAGCUCUGUUGUAAGUCAAGAACGUGUGUGAGAGUGGAAAGUUCACACAGUGACGGAGCUACCAGAAAG